ACCUUUCCCAUUCUUUCUUCUCUUUACUCUCUCUCUCUCUAGAACCUCUCUCUAGCCCCGAAAUCCCCCGAAAAGCCUAGGGAACCUCCCUAGCACGAGGCGGAAGCCCCGGAGUGCUCGAAGGCUCCGAGAAGAAGAGCUUUUCGGCUCGGGAACGCUGCUCCAAGCAAAGCCCGGUUUUCUAUAAAACCCGCUGUUUCGUCGAAGAAAAUUCUUUUUAAGAAGCGAAGCGCUGUCUGAGUUCGGAAUCACCACCUUUUCAGGUAGUGGCGCUUGAGCAUAUAUAUGAUGUUUGGACGAGGGAUUACGGAUAUAGGCCUGUAGAUAUGAAAUAAUGUAGUAAGGCUUGUAUUGUACUGUUUAUGCUUUUGAUCUGUACGAACAUGACAUCCCGAGUCUUUUAAUGAAAUACAUUUCUAUGGAAA